rnacentral:sRNA from 1 species
CGAUGCCUAUGGAAACCUCUUGGUCUGUGCACAUGGAUUUAACUUUAUAAGGGGACCAGAAACUAGAGAACAGUAUCCAAAUAAAUUUAUCCAGCGAGAUGAUACUGAAAGAUUUUACAUUCUGAACACACUAUUCAACCUACCAGAGACCUACCUGUUGGCCUGCCUAGUAGAUUUUUUUACUAAUUGUCCCAGAUAUACCAGUUGUGAAACAGGAUUUAAAGAUGGGGACCUCUUCAUGUCCUACCGGAGUAUGUUCCAGGAUGUAAGAGAUGCUGUUGACUGGGUUCAUUACAAGGGCUCCCUUAAGGAAAAGACAGUUGAAAAUCUUGAGAAGUAUGUAGUCAAAGAUGUAAGUAAUAUAGGGGAAAAUAGAUCUGCAUAAUAGCUCAUUUUACCUAUUAGGGAAAUUAAUAACAAGCUGAUUUAUAAUGAAAUGGACAAAAGAAGAGAUUUGUCUUGGCAUAGUAUGUGUCGGGUAUAAUCACCAAGAAUAUUCAGCUAGAGCAUAGGUCUUAGUAGAGUUUUUCCUGUUUCUUGAUAGGCAAGGAGACUCAGUAUUUCAUUUUUCCUGUUUCUUGAUAGGCAAGAAGACUCAGUAUUGCAUUUGUUCACUUAGCUUCAAUUAUAAUAGCAGUUAGAGGUUUACUGUAUGCACAUCAUCACCAUGCUAAGUGAUUACAUGCAUUAUGCCAUUUAAUCUUCUGUAUGACCUUGAGUUAGGUAUUAUUGUUGCCUCUGUUUUAUAGAUAAAAAACCUGAGAAAUAGAGGGAUUAAAUAACUUGCCAGAGGUCACACAGUUAGUAAGUAGUAAAGCUAAGUCACACCCAAAUCAUAACUACUGCACUAGAUCAUCUCAAAAAUGUGCAUAUAUGUUACUGUUAUUUAAA